UCGGUCUACCGAGCAAUAUAACCCGCUCUGUGGAAGAUCUUCCCUUUGUCGU
rnacentral:pre_miRNA from 1 species